UACGGAGGGCGCAAGCGUUGCUCGGAAUUACUGGGCGUAAAGCGCGUGCAGGCGGUCGAGUAAGUCGGUUGUGAAAUCCCCAGGCUCAACCUGGGAACCGUAUCCGAAACUGCUCGGCUAGAGUCCCGGAGAGGGAGGCGGAACUCCCAGUGUAGGGGUGAAAUCCGUAGAUAUUGGGAAGAACACCGGCGGCGAAAGCGGCCUCCUGGACGGUGACUGACGCUGAGACGCGAAAGCGUGGGGAGCAAACAGG
rnacentral:rRNA from 1 species